UGGGGAAUAUUGCACAAUGGAGGGAACUCUGAUGCAGCGACGCCGCGUGAGUGAUGAAGGAAUUCGUUUCGUAAAACUCUGUUCUAUGGGAAGAAAAGGACAGUACCAUAGGAGAAAGCUCCGGCUAAAUACGUGCCAGCAGCCGCGGUAAUACGUAUGGAGCGAGCGUUGUCCGGAAUUAUUGGGCGUAAAGGGUGCGCAGGCGGCUUUACAAGUUGGAUGUGAAAUAUUGUGGCUCAACCACAAACGUGCAUCCAAAACUGCAAAGCUUGAGUUAAGGAGAGGUAAGUGGAAUUCCUGGUGUAGCGGUGGAAUGCGUAGAUAUCAGGAGGAAUACCGGUGGCGAAGGCGACUUACUGGACUUAAACUGACGCUCAGGCACGAAAGCGUGGGGAGCAAACAGG
rnacentral:rRNA from 1 species